GUGCCAGCAGCCGCGGUAAUACGUAGGUGGCAAGCGUUGUCCGGAAUUAUUGGGCGUAAAGGAUGCGUAGGCGGCCUUUUAAGUGGGAUGUGAAAUACCCGGGCUUAACCCGGGAAUGGCAUUCCAAACUGGAAGGCUAGAGUGCAGGAGAGGAAAGUGGAAUUCCCAGUGUAGCGGUGAAAUGCGUAGAGAUUGGGAGGAACACCAGUGGCGAAGGCGACUUUCUGGACUGUAACUGACGCUGAGGCAUGAAAGCGUGGGGAGCAAACAGGAUUAGAAACCCGGGUAGUCC
rnacentral:rRNA from 1 species